UAACUUGGAAAAUUCCUUCUAAUGUGAAACGAAAUCUUUGCCUUUCAGAGUUUCCUUCGCAACACUGAUUAGAGCUUUCCAAUUAAGAAAAUCAAUAUUCGCCGAAAUUACUCUGCACAUCAAAAUAUUAUUCUUCCUUGUUUACGAAAUGCACAGAGGUUGACCGUGAUCUUUUAUAAUUUAAGCAUCUCUCCAAUCUUAUAUAAACCAUAGAAACUGUGGGUGUUCCGCAGUGCAGCAGUAGCCAGUUCGAUAUUUGCCAUCAUCGUUUCAUUGAUUUCUGAUGGUGUUCUGCUUGAUACAUGCUAGAGCUUUCAAAUCAUAUCCGACGAGAUUAAGCACACUCUUUUGUCCAUUACAUGUUCGGCGAAUUGACCAAAAGAUUUCCUUUUUUUUUUUUUUUUUUUUGUUCUUUCUCAAACAUGUUUCUUGCUGUUUUUUUUAUUGAUCUCCAUAUGUCUUUUCUGCAGACAACAGCCGCUAAGGGAUCUUGGCAGACAAUUUUUUGCACUCUUACGUAUUUGCAACCACAACAUGGACGAUGGCAAUUAAGAAUGCGAUUUGGCUUUGCCGUGGCAUCUUUGAACUUGCCGGAAAGUGAAGCAUGACGCCUAGAUGACGUCGAGCGUGGAUUGCAUCUUUUGUUCCGUUUAAGCAAACGUGGGCACUAUGGCACAAGUAAUAGUGAAAUAGAGAU
rnacentral:lncRNA from 1 species